UGCGCAGGCGGUUGUGCAAGACAGAUGUGAAAUCCCCGGGCUUAACCUGGGAACUGCAUUUGUGACUGCACGGCUGGAGUGCGGCAGAGGGGGAUGGAAUUCCGCGUGUAGCAGUGAAAUGCGUAGAUAUGCGGAGGAACACCGAUGGCGAAGGCAAUCCCCUGGGCCUGCACUGACGCUCAUGCACGAAAGCGUGGGGAGCAAACA
rnacentral:rRNA from 1 species